rnacentral:rRNA from 1 species
UUAUGGCUCAGGAUGAACGCUGGCGGCGUGCCUAACACAUGCAAGUCGAGCGUGAACCCUUAGAAUGAAACUUCGGUCGAAUGAAGAGGGGGAAAGCGGCGGACGGGUGAGUAACGCGUAGGCAACCUGCCCCGUACAGAGGGAUAGCCUCGGGAAACCGGGAUUAAAACCUCAUAAUACCAUGGUAUCACAUGAUGCAAUGGUCAAAGAUUUAUCGGUAUGGGAUGGGCCUGCGUCUGAUUAGCUGGUUGGUGGGGUAACGGCCUACCAAGGCAACGAUCAGUAGCCGACCUGAGAGGGUAAUCGGCCACAUUGGAACUGAGACACGGUCCAAACUCCUACGGGAGGCAGCAGUGGGGAAUAUUGCACAAUGGGCGAAAGCCUGAAUGCAGCAACGCCGCGUGAGCGAAGAAGGCCUUUGGGUCGUAAAGCUCUGUCGGGAAGGAAGAUAAUGACGGUACUUCCCGAGGAAGCCCCGGCUAACUACGUGCCAGCAGCCGC